rnacentral:rRNA from 13 species
GUAGGGAUACCCGCUGAACUUAAGCAUAUCAAUAAGCGGAGGAAAAGAAACCAACAGGGAUUGCCCUAGUAACGGCGAGUGAAGCGGCAACAGCUCAAAUUUGAAAGCUAGCCUUCGGGUUCGCAUUGUAAUUUGUAGAGGAUGCUUUGGGUAAAACGCCAGUCUAAGUUCCUUGGAACAGGACGUCAUAGAGGGUGAGAAUCCCGUAUGUGACUGGAAAUGUUAACCUAUGUAAAGCUCCUUCGACGAGUCGAGUUGUUUGGGAAUGCAGCUCUAAAUGGGAGGUAAAUUUCUUCUAAAGCUAAAUAUUGGCGAGAGACCGAUAGCGCACAAGUAGAGUGAUCGAAAGAUGAAAAGCACUUUGGAAAGAGAGUUAAAAAGCACGUGAAAUUGUUGAAAGGGAAGCGCUUGCAAUCAGACUUG